GGAAACUUCAAUCUCUACUACAGUCCAGAGAGACAGAUACUUAGUAUCAAGCAGCAGGGGCGGAAAGGACAAACAGCAAGUUAACUGAGCAAUGAAGACAGAUAAAUGGCUUCCUGACAAAUGGCCCCAUUUUCCAGGGCCCGGGGCUCUGAAGGAAGGAGACAUGAAGGAGACGUGAGCUUUGGAACAUUUCUUGGGGUGGACUCCUUAAAGGGUUCAUGGCCAUGAGCCCUCUGAGUCUACGCCAGAAGGAGCCACUGCAUUAGUUCUUCUGAAAAAUUAGAUUUUGCUUGCAGCUCAUUAAAAUUUCAAAAGGCUUA